UACGAAGGGGGCUAGCGUUGUUCGGAAUUACUGGGCGUAAAGCGCGCGCAGGCGGUUCUUUAAGUCAGGGGUGAAAGCCCAGAGCUCAACUCUGGAACUGCCCUUGAAACUAGAGAACUUGGGUACGGGAGAGGUGAGUGGAAUUCCGAGUGUAGAGGUGAAAUUCGUAGAUAUUCGGAAGAACACCAGUGGCGAAGGCGGCUCACUGGCCCGUUACCGACGCUCAGGCGCGACAGCGUGGGGAGCAAACAGGA
rnacentral:rRNA from 1 species